ensembl:lncRNA
GUUAUACCUCAACGGUCGAUGAAAAUACGAGUCCAUAAAGCACAUAUUUCCACAUAAAAGCCUUAAAUGUUUGACUUGAUACAUAGAAAAUGUUGAUAAUGCUGAAGCUUUUGGAUAGCUUAAUAAUAAUCUCUUCCUUUCCUUGUGUUUUUCCAGGCCUCUCAGACUUCCUCCUUGACAUAGUUUACCCACGUUGUGUCAUCUGAAGUCCAGGAGUCCUGUGGACUCAUAAUAUUUCAUUCCUCUGUAGUUCCCUGUCUCUGGCCAUCAGUGCCUCCCUGACUCUAAGCAUGGCCCACCCUGCCUCUUUUUUGUUCUCACCUGUGUUCUGUUUUUCCAUGUUGUCAAAUGCUUUCCAAAUCCUAGCCCAUGCCUCCUUUUCCAUGUCCCCGCUCAAAAUUGGUUUGUGGGGAGUCCGGUUACAGCACUGGAAAGGCAAAACAUAGUUCAGCUCCAUAUACAGGCUUGGGAAUAAAGCCUGUUGUAACUAAGCACCCUCACAAAACAUUUUUGCAGUGCAAAUAAGUCCCCUGUGUGGGAGGCCAACUUUUUAAAUGCGCAGUGUAUCAUUUUAAAAUUCCCUUGGGGCUCUAACCUUGUAGGCAGAUGUCUUCACUGGUAAUGUGUCUAAGUGACUUUUCACAGCGAUCUGCCCAGACAGCAUCUGCUCAGCAAAGCUGUCUUUUAGCAGACCAGUACAGGACAGCAUCAAAUCUCAUGUAUUUCAUCCUAGCCUGAAUGAGGAGAACUCAGCCUGCUUCACCUGAAGCACCUCUGCAGGAAGAGCUAGGACAAAAAUCAGUGGCUGCAUUUUGACACAAGCAGUUUUUCAGUUACAUCAGUUCUGUGUUUUCAGACUCUUCAAGCUGCCCUACUGUGAUGACAGAAAGCUUCUGAAGGAAGAAGACACUGAGAUUCCAGAGGAACUCAUUAUGCCAGAAGGUAUGGCUUCUCAGAACACAGAACAAAAGAUAAAGUACGAAACACUUAGCAUGAAGUUCUGGGGAAAAUAAAAUGGUCUAGCAGGACUGUAUCUCACAACUUUUCUCAGCUAUAUUUCCUCUAUCAGUGUGAUACCGUCCAUAUUAAGAUCAGCUUUCUAGACCUCAUCUUUGAGAUAUUAUGCCUGACUCCCUGUUGUCUCCUCCUAAGACUUAGUUUGAGUCCAUCCCUACAAAGCCUUUCUUGCCCCUGUGCUGCUUGGUUCUUUCUUCUAAUCAUUUCUCAUGAGGUCUCUGCUAAAUGUACUUUUGCAUGCAACUUUUCACCACUGACCCAUAGCCGCAGGAAAACAUUUCUCUGUACUGGAUUGCUGAUAUGAUGAGUGUUGCAUGUAAACUGCUCUGUUUAAUCAAAACUUCAAGCUUCUCAGAUGACUACGUAACAGCGAAUGCCAGCUGAGCUUCAGUGGCAAU